rnacentral:rRNA from 1 species
UACGUAGGGGGCAAGCGUUGUCCGGAAUCAUUGGGCGUAAAGCGCGUGUAGGCGGUUCGGUAAGUCUGCUGUGAAAAUCCAGGGCUCAACCCUGGGAUGCCGGUGGAUACUGUCGGACUAGAGUACGGAAGAGGCGAGUGGAAUUCCCGGUGUAGCGGUGAAAUGCGCAGAUAUCGGGAGGAACACCAAUUGCGAAGGCAGCUCGCUGGGACGUUACUGACGCUGAGACGCGAAAGCGUGGGGAGCAAACAGG